rnacentral:lncRNA from 1 species
AAAUUUUUUCUAAAUAAUAAAUCAUUUUUAACCAUCUAUUCAACCUUUUAAAAUUUUAUUUUUAUUAUCCAACUAUUCUAUAUGUUAGAUUUUAAAAUUCACGUAUAAAAAAAUUAUAUAUUCAAAAUUUUUAUAAUAAAAAAAUUUAUGUUUGGAUUUAAAAAAACAUUAAAAAAAUUAAAAAAUAAAAAAUUCAACCCCUAAAAAAAAAAAAAA